GGCAAGUGCAGUGGUACAGAUAAGUCUGCAGCACAUCAUGGGGAUCUUUGUGUAAACUGAGAUAUCUAUUCCCUGCACCACCGAAGAGUCUUUGAACAAGCAAGCAGCUACCUUCUUUUUCGAGUGUCAGCCUGCUGGAAAGUCCUAUAAAGUGCAGUGCUGUGCUAUCACUUUAAUGAAUGCUGCAUGUGGAUACAACACGAAGGAAACUGAAGCCUUGUAGAGCAUAUCAUCUCUCCAGGCCCCCAUCUCAGAUUGCAUAGGAGCCACUCUCACCUAUGUCUAGUGAAUAUCUGAGGCCCAAAGCACAUCAUCGUGCCAGAGUGGUUACCAGUCCCCCAUCUAGACUAUGUCUGUCCAGAAGCACUGCAGCAGCCCCAUCAAAAGUAGGACCCUGGCAACCUUCCUCCUCUUCUUCAAGGACAAGGCAACGGAGGACAUCUCCACACUGAGAGAAGGAAGCAGUGGCAAGGUCUUAGGAUAUGAGGCUGCCUUAUCAAGAAAUAUUUGAAUUGCUUCUGAGGCUUCAGACCAAGUGUAUUUUAUGAAAUACAGUACAUUGCCUAUUCUUGUGCUUAUUGUUUUAUCGUAUUCUUUUUUAGCUCUUGUCUCUUCACGUUUGGCCUUUAAAUAUACACUUAAAUUAUCAAUGCAGAUAAUUUUAAAAAUCAAAUGUACUUUUCAUUUUUAAGCUCUUUUUUUUUUAAAUUUAUUUCACAUAGCUUGGACAGUGUCACUAAACUGGUCAGUUUCCCCUUCUGUUUCUUGUGAACUAACACAAUACGGUUGAGUUAGAUUCACACUACUGCAGAGAGAAGUCCACAUUUUUCCAGAAGAUUGUUUUCAUUGACAUUUGAGGGGAUGGGAAAUAAGUGACCACAUUUUUAUUCAUAAUAGAAGGUCAGAUUCUGCUACCACUGAAUUCAGUGGCUAUACCUCUAUUGGAUGCUAGCAUUUAUACAAUUCUUUCUUUAUUUUUAACAGACAUAAACUUUGAGCUUUGAACUAGUUUAAAAGUACCCUUUUGACGUUUUGGCUUCUAACUGUCCAUGUACUACUUAGAUGAGUGGGAUGGAGAUUACUGGGUUAUAUCACCCAGGACAAAAUUCACUGAAGGGGGCCGAAAUAAAGGAAAACUCAGUGAGGUUUUCCUCACAGUGUUUCUUUCAUAACUUUCUAAAAAUCUUGAAGUCUGUUAUUUCCUUACCACUCACCAGCAAGGCCUAGUUCUGCACUCUGAUCUUUCUUGGUUUCAACGGGAGGUUUGCCCAAGAAUAGACUACGUGAUCAGAUCCGCUAAGUCUCAAUUCAAAAUUCAUUGUUUCCCCUGACAUUACAAGCACCUGCAGCAGAGAAAGGAGAUCCAGAAAAUACAGGGAAAGAGGGUAAAAAUCUCAGAGAAAAAAUUUAUUUCUUAAAAAUACUGUAACUUUAAAGGAUCGGGGGGAAAGGGGGAGAAAUCUCCUAAAAUGGAUUAUUUUUAUGAUUGUGUAUUUCUUUCCUUGAAUGCAUCUAGCAUGUUGAUUAAACUUAAUGUUACCUUUAAUAUUAAACUGUUUUUAAAAGGAA